ACAAGAUGAUUUUUCUCAGCAAAGGAGUAAAACUUACGAGGCCACGAGCUGCUUAGAUGAUUUUAGGUUCAGUGCUGUUAGUUUCCUAAAACAACUAUUUAUCCAUCAAUCAUACCUUCAGGCCUUACAAUCUGCAAAAGCACAAAUCACAGCCCAAGUGGGAAAGAGGAGGAGGUUUUAAGGGGCUUCCAUGAAGUGUCUUACAAAGUUGAAAUAUUUACCCCAGAGGACAGAUUGUGGUGGACUAACUGAUGAUUCUGUCUCCAAAGAAGACAGCCUAUAUACUUUUUAUUCUAAAUACACCCUUUGGAAACCUUCUUAGCAUUUCUAAUAGAUUUUCUAUUAUAGUAACAAUCAGUCUCAUGAUAAUCCAACUUAGAGAAAUCUUAACUUAAUAAACUUAUUUCCAGACAUCUAAGCAUUCUACUCCAAAGACAGCUGUGAAGAGGUACUUGAACAAUGCUUACUGCUAACACUAAUAAUCAGAACUAUUCAGCCUCCAGAUAACAUAUGACAAGUAAAAAUAGCAGUGCUCAAUUUACAGAAUCUUGAGAAAUUACAAGCCUCCUAACCAUUCCAACUUAUGAUCUAAAAUAGAAGUGGGUGGGAGGUCAUACCCAGGAGGACUGAAUUUAACACCUACAUGAGUCUAAAUUUAGGGGGAAAAACAGCAAGAACAAAACAUAAACAGUCUUUGUUUCCCUUCAGGACUAUAGUCCUUAUCCUUGGCAACCUUUCAA